rnacentral:snRNA from 1 species
GAGAGAGUGUGUGUUCGCUUGGCAGUAUAUAUAUUUUUUGUUUGUUUUUCAUUAGUUCAAAUUAGGAACAAGCUUGUUUCACAUAUCAAUCCUUUCUCCCUCUCCCUCCCGUCAACCCACCUCCCACCCCAUUCCCCCUCCACGAAGAGGAUGAAGAGAGAGGACGACCUUUCCCAAUAGAGGAGGACCAGUCUUAGGUCAAGGGAAUUACGAGUAGCUGCGCUCCCCUGUGAAAACCUCCAAACAAGCUCUCAAGGUCCAUUUGGCAGUGUAUUUAACUAGAACUGAAUUGUGGUUUGAAUUC